rnacentral:siRNA from 1 species
CCAUAUGGUUGAUUCUAGCGACGU